UCUACGGGUGGCUGCAGUGAGGAAUAUUGGUCAAUGGCCGUAAGGCUGAACCAGCCAUGCCGCGUGCAGGUCAGUGCCCUAUGGGCGUUAAACUUCUUUUGUGCGGGAGCUCUAAUGGUCACGUGUGGCCAGACGGGAGUUCCGUACGAAUAAGCAUCGGCUAACUCCGUGCCAGCAGCCUAGGUUAUACGGGAGAUGGCAGCGUUAUCCGGGUUUAUUGGGGUUUAAGGGUGCGUAGGGUGUGAGGUAAGUCAGCGGGGGAAUGCCCCCGCUCAACGGGGUGAAGUGUCAUUGAUACUGGCUUGCUGGAGUGCGGAGGCCGUGGGCGGAAUGUGUGGUGUAGCGGUGAAAUGCAUAGAUAUCACACAGAACACCGAGUGCGAAGGCAUCUCACGGAACCGCUAUUGACGCUGAUGCACGAAGGCGUGGGUAUCAAACAGGAUUAGAUACCCCGGUAGUC
rnacentral:rRNA from 1 species